UCUGCUUUUGCCUGGGAAGACGGCCAAGUGGUGUGCAUUUUGGAUUAAUUUUUUACAAGGAAAACAAAUUAAUUGCUUAGUAAAUAUAGUUUGCUAGACAAAAUCUCUCAAAACAUGGGACAAAAAUGAUUAAAAAUGGUAAUUAGUGAUUCACUCAGUCUGUUUAUUGUUUAAAAGUUGGCUACUUUAGCACAAGAGGCAAAUAUUUCUCUUUAUGUUGGCCUUCAUAGUAUUGAUAUAUUUGAAUAAAGAUUAGGCUGACAAUCAGUGUUAACAUCCAAGGUUUGCUUGAAGCUGGAAUUAACUGAAGUCACUAAACUCUGGUGCAGAAUCCAAAGUCUGAUUCUUGGCAAAAUUAUUGAAAGAUUUAGGGUGUUACAGUAUUGGUAGGUGUUUCUGGUACUGGAUUUCUAUGCCGGGGCCCUCUGAGAAACUUCUCAGCCUCUGGGUUAGCAGAGGGGGUAGCACUCAGUUACCCCGCUCUUUGAUUUUACCUAAAUGUGUUUUUGAAAUAUUUAAGGAGAGCACAUUUCCAGAUUGAAACUGCUUUCCUAGAUUCUCUUGAAAUUCCACUUAAAAGGUUGUUCUUGAUCUGCAGCCAAAUACAAGAGAAACAAGUUGGGCUGGCAUAUUUGUAUACUAAGGUUGUUGUUUUUCUUUUUCUCCUAGGACCCAGCAGGGGAGGAUGGUCACCAGUGAAAGAAAGACAGAGGAGAAUGGAUAUCACUGAAAUUCCUGAUAUGGAAACAAAAAUGCACUGUCUUAAGCAGAGGACACGGCUCCUGAGCAAAGAGGUCUACCCUUCUCCCAUUGCCUGUCCUGGAAGAAGACAGCUAAAUCCAAGGAUUAAAUCCAUCAGAGAAAAGCAAAUCAUUUUAAACUUCUAAGAGGGAGAAGACGCCAUCUAUGAUCAAGACACCCAAAUCUGCCAGUACGUUGAUCUUGGACUUCCAACCUCCAGAACUGUGAGCAAUACAUAUUGUUUAUAAGCCACUCAGUUUAUAGUAUUUUUGUUAUAGCCGCCCAAAUGGACGAAGAUGAUCCUUUCCCCCAAGAAACUGAGAACAGGCAUAUAGAACAUAUAUACAUAUAUAUAUAUUGCAAGUUGACAUUGUGACACCCAAGUGUAUGAUUAGAGGACUCAUCUUUUUGAACAAGAAAUAGACGAGGCUGGGUAUUGCUGAACUCCUAUGGUUAUCACAGUAGGAACACGUAGUGGUCUGCUAUAAGUUGGAAGAAAGUAGUUUGAGAAACAUGGUUCUAAGCUACCCUCUCAGCUUGCAAGCCACUCAGGAAAGAGCUUCCCAUCUCGCUGGCUCCACUGUUACGACUACAUCGGUGCAGCCAAUGUGAAGUGUGCUCCGUGGAUCCUUGUGCAUUUUUAUUGAUUUGGGGCCUGAGGCUUCUGGAUAAAUAAACACAGUUGUGAGAACGAGGCUAUUCCAGUCCUUAGGGUUGUCCUCUACACAGCAAAAGCCUAAGCAGAGCAGAAAAGCCUAGUUGAAGCAAGCACUCUUUUAAGGGCCUAGAAAAACUUGAGCCCCAGGUGUUGUUCCAAGACUAGUUCUGCCUUCAUGUCUUGCCAGAUGCAGAGAUGGUUAGUGGCUACUUCCAGUGUCGUUCUUUACUUCUCCUUACUUCCUCUUUACUUGCUAGCCACAUUGUGACCAAAAAUAAAAGAGUAAUCUCCCAGCCUCCCUUGCUGCUAGAUAUGACCACGUGACUUGUGUCCCAAAAAGCUGAAUUCAGUGGGCCUUUCAGGAAGGCAGUCUAAAGAGAGCUCACUUAGCAGGAGGGGCCUCUUUUUAUCUUUGUUUUCCUUCUUUUUCUGGCUUGUAACUCUAGAAGCCCGUUUUGGACCAGGAAGCAAUCUUAAGGAUGGAAGCCAUAUGCUAGAAUGCAGCAGCAGAAAGAUUGAUGAAACCUAGGUCCCACCAAACCUGAAUGCCUGCCUCCAAACUCUCUUUUUUUUUUUUUUUUGAGACAGAGUCUCGCUCUUGUUGCCCAGGCUGGAGUGCAGUGGUGCGAUCUCAGCUCACCACAACCUCCGCCUCCCGGGUUCAAGCGAUUCUCGUCCCUCAGCCUCCCAAGUAGCUGGGAUUACAGGCACCCGCCACCAUAUCCAGUUAAUUUUUGUAUUUUUAAUAGAGAAAGGGUUUCCCCAUGUUGGUCGGGCUGGUCUCGGACUCCCGACUUCUGGUGCUCCACCUGCUUCAGCCUCCCAAAGUGCUGGGAUUACAGGCGUGAGCCACCGCUCCCGGCAUGCCUGCCUCGAAACUUUCUUUAGAGAAGGAAGAAAGAGGCUUCUAUUAUUUUUGGUAAUUCUUAUCUUAGGUUUUUCUGUUUCAUGCAGCCAAAUCUAAUCCCAGUUGAUUCAUAAGCCAAAGUUUGCCUUUUCUCCUUCGUUCACUGACAAUAAUCCAUGAAGCAGUGAGGCCCUGUCCAUCUGUCAUCCUGGACAUUGCUAAGGAAAGCCAACUGGUAGGACAGCAAUCUGCUUACACAGUCUCUCAGGCGUAUUUGCACUUCUAAGAGGACCACCAGAAAAAGCACUGUUUUACCCAAAAGAAGCUUUUUGGUAUUAUGUGGAAAUACAAUUUGGAAUCGUUCGAUUUUUCUGUGUAGAUCUACAUACACGUAGACUCUGAGAAAUGUAUGAAGUGCAUCCUCCGGCCAUUGGUAGCCACAUGUAGGGAUUUUGUCACAGUUAUGAGAGGAAAAAUAAAAGUUAACCAGUUACUUUUAAGAUCCAGACAAAUGUGUUUGGAAAGGCUAUAAAUUAAUGACUUGUUGGAUGGAAACAUUAUGCAAGUUAAUUUUCCAGUCUUCAGAAAACAUUUUCAGAGGGAAAUUAUAUUCUCCGACAUAUAUUUGCAGGUUCACAAAACAACAAUUUCCCAUAUCAAACAUUUUAAAGAAAUGUUGCUCUUCUCCAGAGUAAUUGCAUAUAAGAUUGAACUCUUCUCUGAAAACAAUUGAAUGUUUUUGAGAGUUAAUAAAGAAAUUGUUUCUGAAUACAGAAGUCAACAGUUCUGAGACUUACAAAUGAUUAGAGGAGUUUACUCACUGAGAAGUGUCACACAACUAGUAUAACAAAUGUCAUAGUUCCCCUAAACACUGUAAUUUGUACACUGCAUGUAGGC
rnacentral:lncRNA from 1 species